CUAAAAUAUAGUUCUAAAAAGUUACAGUAAAAUCCUGAAGAUUCUUGCACUAAAAUAUCCAGACAAUCAAAUCAAAAAGCUGUGCAAACUUAUAGAACAAACAGAUCGUAAAUACAGUAAUCCUGGGUAUCUUAACCGCAGUUUUAUCAGCACAGCAGUAAUACAGUCCGUGAGAGAUGUAUAAGAAUGUAGCUAAGGAUACAGUUUAUCUUGUGUACCACGUAUCCCUGCAAAAUGUAAC